rnacentral:tRNA from 1 species
UCCCUGGUGGUCCAGUGGUUAAGAAUUUGCCUUGCAAUGCAGGGGUCUCAGGUUCCAUCCCUGACCAGGGAA